rnacentral:rRNA from 1 species
CCUACGGGAGGCUGCAGUGGGGAAUAUUGGACAAUGGGGGCAACCCUGAUCCAACCAUGCCGCGUGUGUGAAGAAGGCCCUCGGGUUGUAAAGCACUUUCAGUGAGGAAGAACGCCUGGUGGUUAAUACCCAUCAGGAAAGACAUCACUCACAGAAGAAGCACCGGCUAACUCCGUGCCAGCAGCCGCGGUAAUACGGAGGGUGCGAGCGUUAAUCGGAAUUACUGGGCGUAAAGCGCGCGUAGGUGGCUUGAUAAGCCGGUUGUGAAAGCCCCGGGCUCAACCUGGGAACGGCAUCCGGAACUGUCAAGCUAGAGUGCAGGAGAGGAAGGUAGAAUUCCCGGUGUAGCGGUGAAAUGCGUAGAGAUCGGGAGGAAUACCAGUGGCGAAGGCGGCCUUCUGGACUGACACUGACACUGAGGUGCGAAAGCGUGGGUAGCAAACAGGAUUAGAUACCCGGGUAGUC